rnacentral:rRNA from 1 species
UACGAAGGGAGCUAGCGUUGUUCGGAAUUACUGGGCGUAAAGGGCGCGUAGGCGGCCUGUUAAGUCGAACGUGAAAUCCCCGGGCUCAACCCGGGAACUGCGUCCGAUACUGGCAGGCUUGAAUCCGGGAGAGGGAUGCGGAAUUCCAGGUGUAGCGGUGAAAUGCGUAGAUAUCUGGAGGAACACCGGUGGCGAAGGCGGCAUCCUGGACCGGCAUUGACGCUGAGGCGCGAAAGCCAGGGGAGCAAACGGG